AUGAACGCUAGCGGCAGGCUUAACACAUGCAAGUCGAGGGGUAACAGGGAGAAGCUUGCUUUUCCGCUGACGACCGGCGAACGGGUGCGUAACACGUAUGCAACCUACCUCUAUCAGGAGGAUAGCCCAGAGAAAUCUGGAUUAAUACUCCAUAGUAUUGUCUUUUCGCAUGUUAAGACAAUUAAAGCUCCGGCGGAUAGAGAUGGGCAUGCGUCCCAUUAGUUUGUUGGUGAGGUAACGGCUCACCAAGACUACGAUGGGUAGGGGUUCUGAGAGGAUGAUCCCCCACACUGGUACUGAGACACGGACCAGACUCCUACGGGAGGCAGCAGUGAGGAAUAUUGGUCAAUGGACGAAAGUCUGAACCAGCCAUGCCGCGUGCAGGAUGACUGCCCUAUGGGUUGUAAACUGCUUUUAUAUAUCAAGAAACCCCGGAACGUGUUCUGGGCUGACGGUAGUAUAUGAAUAAGCACCGGCUAA
rnacentral:rRNA from 1 species